CUGAAACAACACAGUAGCUCUUUUGGUUGACCUCAGAUAAUGAGACAUCUUGUGUCCUUCGAACUUGGGGCUCACCCCUUGGGACCCAACAACCUUAUCACAGUCUCCCGCACUCAUCUUUUGCAC
rnacentral:lncRNA from 14 species